AGAGUUUGAUCAUGGCUCAGAUUGAACGCUGGCGGCAGGCUUCACACAUGCAAGUCGAACGGUAACAGGGAGAAGCUUGCUUCUUUGCUGACGAGUGGCGGACGGGUGAGUAAUGCUUGGGAAUCUGGCUUAUGGAGGGGGAUAACUACGGGAAACUGUAGCUAAUACCGCGUAAUAUCUUCGGAUUAAAGGGUGGGACUUUCGGGCCACCUGCCAUAAGAUGAGCCCAAGUGGGAUUAGGUAGUUGGUGGGGUAAAGGCCUACCAAGCCGACGAUCUCUAGCUGGUCUGAGAGGAUGACCAGCCACACUGGAACUGAGACACGGUCCAGACUCCUACGGGAGGCAGCAGUGGGGAAUAUUGCACAAUGGGGGGAACCCUGAUGCAGCCAUGCCGCGUGAAUGAAGAAGGCCUUCGGGUUGUAAAGUUCUUUCGGUGAUGAGGAAGGUGUUUGUUUUAAUAGAACAAGCAAUUGACGUUAGUCACAGAAGAAGCACCGGCUAACUCCGUGCCAGCAGCCGCGGUAAUACGGAGGGUGCGAGCGUUAAUCGGAAUGACUGGGCGUAAAGGGCACGCAGGCGGUGACUUAGGUGAGACGUGAAAGCCCCGAGCUUAACUUGGGAAUUGCAUUUCAUACUGGGUCGCUAGAGUAUUUUAGGGAGGGGUAGAAUUCCACGUGUAGCGGUGAAAUGCGUAGAGAUGUGGAGGAAUACCGAAGGCGAAGGCAGCCCCUUGGGAAUAUACUGACGCUCAUGUGCGAAAGCGUGGGGAGCAAACAGGAUUAGAUACCCUGGUAGUCCACGCUGUAAACGCUGUCGAUUUGGGGAUUGGGCUUUAAGCUUGGUGCCCGUAGCU
rnacentral:rRNA from 1 species